ACGCUGGUGCAUUCGGUGGGGCAGAAGCGGCUGACAACCAUGGCCGUGGUGCGGCUGCGCAGGGGCGGCCAACGGUUCGAGAUCGCCUGCUUCCCCAACAAGGUGGUCAACUGGCGCGACCGCGUCGAGAAGGACCUCGACGAGGUGCUCCAGUCCCACAACGUAUACUCCAACGUCUCCAAGGGCGUCCUCGCCAAGUCCAAGGACCUCAUCAGGAUCUUCGCCACCGACGACCUCGUCGAAAUCUGCCUCGAGAUUUUGGAGAAAGGGGAGCUCCAGGUGUCUGGCAAGGAGAGGGAGGCGCAGCUGUCCUCCCAGUUCAAGGACAUUGGCGCCUCAUGCACGACAUACACUUUGCGGUCGAUCCAAACGUUACCUCCAAGGAACAGGUAG
rnacentral:rRNA from 1 species